rnacentral:tRNA from 1 species
AGCACCGUGGCGCAGUGGAAGCAUGCUGGGCCCAUAAACCAGAGGUCAGUGGAUCGAAACCACACUGCUA